CCAGUUUUGCUCCAAGGACCAAUCUUAAGCCGAGGCCGAAAGGCGUAGGCGAUGACAACAGGUUGAUAUUCCUGUACCACCUCCUCACCAUUUGAGCAAUGGGGGGACGCAGGUGGAUAGGGUAAGCGCGGUAUUGGAUAUCCGCGUCCAAGCAGUUAGGCUGGGAAAUAGGCAAAUCCGUUUCCCAUAAGGCUGAGCUGUGAUGGCGAGCGAAAUAUAGUAGCGAAGUUCCUGAUUCCACACUGCCAAGAAAAGCCUCUAGCGAGGUGAGAGGUGCCCGUACCGCAAACCGACACAGGUAGGCGAGGAGAGAAUCCUAAGGUGAUCGAGAGAACUCUCGUUAAGGAACUCGGCAAAAUGACCCCGUAACUUCGGGAGAAGGGGUGCUCUGUUAGGGUGCAAGCCCGAGAGAGCCGCAGUGAAUAGGCCCAGGCGACUGUUUAGCAAAAACACAGGUCUCUGCGAAGCCGUAAGGCGAAGUCUAGGGGCUGACGCCUGCCCGGUGCUGGAAGGUUAAGAGGAGCGCUUAGCGUAAGCGAAGGUGCGAAUUGAAGCCCCAGUAAACGGCGGCCGUAACUAUAACGGUCCUAAGGUAGCGAAAUUCCUUGUCGGGUAAGUUCCGACCCGCACGAAAGGCGCAACGAUCUGGGCACUGUCUCAACGAGAGACUCGGUGAAAUUAUAGUACUUGUGAAGAUGCAGGUUACCCGCGGCAGGACGGAAAGACCCCGUGGAGCUUUACUGCAGCCUGAUAUUGAAUGUUGGUACAGCUUGUACAGGAUAGGUAGGAGCCUUGGAAACCGGAGCGCCAGCUUUGGUGGAGGCAUCGGUGGGAUACUACCCUGGCUGUAUUGACCUUCUAACCCGCCGCCCUUAUCGGGCGGGGAGACAGUGUCAGGUGGGCAGUUUGACUGGGGCGGUCGCCUCCUAAAAGGUAACGGAGGCGCCCAAAGGUUCCCUCAGAAUGGUUGGAAAUCAUUCGCGGAGUGUAAAGGCACAAGGGAGCUUGACUGCGAGACCUACAAGUCGAGCAGGGACGAAAGUCGGGCUUAGUGAUCCAGUGGUUCCGCAUGGAAGGGCCAUCGCUCAACGGAUAAAAGCUACCCCGGGGAUAACAGGCUUAUCUCCCCCAAGAGUCCACAUCGACGGGGAGGUUUGGCACCUCGAUGUCGGCUCAUCGCAUCCUGGGGCUGUAGUCGGUCCCAAGGGUUGGGCUGUUCGCCCAUUAAAGCGGUACGCGAGCUGGGUUCAGAACGUCGUGAGACAGUUCGGUCCCUAUCCGUCGCGGGCGCAGGAAAUUUGAGAGGAGCUGUCCUUAGUACGAGAGGACCGGGAUGGACGCACCGCUGGUGUACCAGUUGUUCUGCCAAGGGCAUCGCUGGGUAGCUAUGUGCGGACGGGAUAAGUGCUGAAAGCAUCUAAGCAUGAAGCCCCCCUCAAGAUGAGAUUUCCCAUUCCGCAAGGAAGUAAGAUCCCUGAAAGAUGAUCAGGUUGAUAGGUCUGAGGUGGAAGUGUGGCGACACAUGGAGCUGACAGAUACUAAUCGAUCGAGGACUUAACC
rnacentral:rRNA from 1 species